rnacentral:rRNA from 1 species
CCUACGGGAGGCAGCAGUGAGGAAUAUUGGUCAAUGGCCGAGAGGCUGAUCCAGCCAAGUCGCGUGAGGGAAGAAUGCCCUAUGGAUUGUAAACCUCUUUUGUCAGGGAGCAAAGUCACCCACGUGUGGGUGUUGGAGAGUACCUGAAGAAAAAGCAUCGGCUAACUCCGUGCCAGCAGCCGCGGUAAUACGGAGGAUGCGAGCGUUAUCCGGAUUUAUUGGGUUUAAAGGGUGCGUAGGCGGGUUAGCAAGUCAGCGGUAAAAUCGUGGAGCUAACCUGCAUCCAGCCUUUGAUACUGAUGAUCUUGAGUGGGCGAGAGGUAUGCGGAAUGCGUGGUGUAGCGGUGAAAUGCAUAGAUAUCACGCAGAACUCCGAUUGCGAAGGCAGCACCCCGGCGGCCGACUGACGCUGAGGCACGAAAGCGUGGGUAUCGAACAGGAUUAGAUACCCCGGUAGUC